UCUAAAAGCACUGUGCUCAUGUAAUCUGUGUACAACUCUUAGAGGAACUAGUAUGCCUGUGUUUCAAAUAUAAGCUGAAGCCCAGAGUGGGGAGGCAGGUCCCUGGUUAAUAAAGGGCAGGGAGUCAGGCUUGGACCCAGGUGGGCCCAUUCAAAGCCCACGCUUCUCCGGACCCCGCCCGGAAGGCAGCAGGUGCUCUGCUUCCUAAGGAAGGACGGGAAGGGGCUGUGGCUCCUCAGGCUGCCCAGGGGACAGGCCAGACGCACGUGGACCCACUGGUGCUUGGAUGCCUGCACAGCCGGGGUUGGGAGCUGUCAAAUACCUGCUUUGCCCAUGACAAGGGGAUUGUGGAAGCAUGGCCUCUGAAAAGGCUCCCGUGUGCUCAACAGUGUGGCAGAGAAGAACAAGUCGAUCUGUAGUUAAAGCACGCAGUGGAGGGAGAUGCUGAGCGGCUGGGCCAUCUGCCUGCAGGUGGGCGCCUGGCCCAACUUCCUGCCGAGCCGCCCCUGUACCCACCUCAGAUGACUCCCAGGCCGUCCGCCCUCCGAGGCAGCCCUUGCGUUUUGAGAGGAGAGACGUGAAGCCUGUCUUGCUGUUCCUUCCAGCUGCUGGUCCUUGCUCCAGCUCUCAGAACCAGAAGGAAUCCGUCUAAUUGCUCAUUCACUGGAGAGCCCUCGAGGUACUGAUGACAGUUUUCAUUUCCUGCUGUGUCUUCUCUGGGAUAAAAAUCCCCAGCCCUCUCUCCUGGCAGUGUCUCUGUCAGCGUGAGGUCCCAGCGGAGGGCAAGGCCUGGCAGGGCAAUCACCUCCUUCCUUCUGGACAUUCUACCCCCAUUAAUGUGGCCAAAGGCUGCAUUGGCUCCAUCGCACUGGGGACGGCAUCCCGUACGUCUGAGCCCCCAGCCUGCAUCCUGUCCUCCUCUCUCUUGCAUUACUGCCCCACCUAGGAAGGGGCUUCUUCAAGGGCCUGGGGACUCCAGAGCUUUCUCCUCCACUUUACAAAACACA